rnacentral:tRNA from 1 species
GCGCCGGUGGUGUAAGGCGAACAGCAGCCCGGAAAGCAGAAGAUGCGGGUUCGAGUCCCGCGUGGCGCA